rnacentral:lncRNA from 1 species
CUCGGAUCUGGGAAUCGAAUCUGCGAUCCUAUGACCGUGAGUCCGCUGCCCUAACCACUGGGACAUUGUGCCUCCACACACAUACACAUAUACACGCGCACACACACAUAUACGUGGAGCUUUAGGUGUUUUCGCUCAAUAAACGCUUUCAACGCCCGGUCUGUGAAUCGAAACCGCGAUCCCACGACCGCGAGUCCGCUGCCCUAACCACUGGACCCUUGCGCCUCCACCACCCCCACGCAUAUAUACGGGGAGCUUUAGGUGUUUUCGAUCAAUAAACGCUCAGAACGCCCGGUCUGUAAAUCGAAACCGCGAUCCCACGACCGCGAGUCCGCUGCCCUAACCACCGGGCCAUUGCGCCUCCACAAAACAAACACAUACACACUUAUAUACACGUGUGCAUAUGUGCAUUUCUUAUAAUCCAGUAUGAACUAUUGAUUGGAGAAUGUGAGCUGGCAGAAUCGUUAACCUACCGGAAAAAAUUCUUAGUAACAUUUCUUCAGAUUUUACGUUUUGAGUUCAAAUGCCGCCGAGGUCGACUUUGCCACUUAUCUUUACCGGAUCGAUAAAAUAAGUACCAGUUGGGUACUGGGGUCGAUAUAAUCGACUUACCCCUUCCCCGAAAUUGCUGGCCUUGUGCCAAAAUUUGAAAGCGAUAUUUGUCAUUAAUUAUAUAUUAACAUUUUUCUUUCUUUUCUUCACAGAUAUCGCCUGCUAUCCGAACACGCUGGAAACUCGCUAACGGUCGGAAACUCUUAUGGUGCAGCAAACCCAACUGGUCUAAUGACGGCCUAACAUGGAGCCUUCCCGAAGCUUACAAAGGAACUUAUACUUGUUAAAACGGUUAAAAUGGUUGUACCGGUGCUUAAAUCCCGUAGCAAUGUCUACUGGGUCUUGACGUUAGGAAUCUCAUUUCAAAAAUGGAAUGGCUUCUUUGAAUGACUUUCAGUGUUAAACUAUUUUUUUUUUAACUGACAAUAAAAUCCAUGUUAUAUAUGCAUAUAAACGACAACUCAUGGAAUUUAUAAGAUACGUAAAAUAUUUGAGAAAAUAGUAUAUUUAUAUAUAUAUAUAUAUAUAUAUAUUUAUGUGAGUGUGUGUGUAUAUAUAUUGAUAUAUCGUUCAAAUUUAUAAAUAUAUAUAUAUGUACAUAUAUGUCCGAACAUAAAAAAGAAACAGGAAAACUACUUUAAACAAACUAGUAAACACAGAACAAUUAUAUGUUAAAGUCGCCAUUGCGCCAUGUUUUUAAAUCAUAACCUUACGAGUGAUGUUUCAUUAAGGAACUUGAUUUUAGGUUUUAAUGGAAGCUCCAGCAGUGCCACAGCCAACAUUAACAGUGGAAACAAUAGCAUCAGCAGCAGUCAUGUUAACAGUAGCAACGACAGCCACAACAGCAGCAACAGCAGCAACAGCAACAACAGCCACAGCAACCUUUUCCUGAACGGUGACAGCUUUAGUGGUGACCAGUUUUGGCACGACGAUCCGUCUCUGAUGCCUUUGCGAAUCGGUUUCACAGCUUUCGCCGUGUUCUGUAUUUUCGUUGCUAGUCUAGCUGGAAACCUCUUCGUCUGUCUGGUAUUCUACAAGCGGCCGUCUCUACUGACCAUUUCCAACCGGUUCAUUCUCAACCUGACCUGCUGCAACAUACUGAACACGAUGUUCGUCAUGCCGUUUGUCUUCGUCACGACCAUCACCCAAGAAUGGGUCUUCAAAGGUAUUUGGUGCCAGUCGACCGGCUUUCUCAUGAACCUUAUCUUCGCCGCCAGCACCCUAACGCUGGUCGUCAUUUCCAUCGAUCGCUAUUGCGCCGUCAUUAGCCCCCUUCAUUACAACAUGAGGAUCACAACGCAACGAGCCACAAUGAUGAUUAUCGGUGUGUGGUUAUUGGCCAUAGUGGCCUCGUUACCUCCCUUGGUCGGCUGGAACCAUUUCGAGUACCAACCUGAAAAAUACUCCUGCACAGUUCUCUGGCGCAGCCCCCAUUACUCAGAUCGGACUUACACGCUGUUUUUGUCGCUGAUAUGUUUUGUAACGCCCCUCAUGGUCAUGCUAUGGGUGUACGUGGUUAUCUUUCGUGCGGCAAAGGACAAUAGUGAACGAGCGCGACGCAACAGCGUCAUACCUACGAACGGAGAAGAACAGUCACAGACUCCGUUAAGGUGUAGUAGGCGGCGAAGCAGCACGGCGCCAAUAAUUCUCAGCCGCAAACUGAGCACAUCGAGCCGGACUAGUUCGUUACUCUGGCACCGUGAUGAGUGGAAGGCAGCCAUUACGAGCAUGUUGGUCGUUUCAACGUUCGUCGUGUGUUGGCUUCCAUAUUUCGUCAUCAUAGUACUGGAAUCUUCAGUGUUGCUCAAGUCCGAGGACAUUCACCCUUUCUUGCAAGGUGCUGCGAUAUUCUUGGCGCUGUCUAGCUGCGCUUUCAACCCGCUCGUAUACGUUUUCCGUAGCAAAGUCGCCCGACAAGAACUCGUGUCCAUCUUACAUCCGAGACGAAGUCAUCCCGCGCUUACGAGAGGCAAUUCAAACGGAGCUGAAACCGGUGCGGCGCUUCCGAAACGAGGCCCUGAUACCGGUCAGAAGGACGCUCCGCCACCAAAUAUUUCUGAGCUGUGCCAACCGCAAUUAGCUCAGCUCACAGAAACAACAUUAUCAUCAACAGAGACAACAAACAACCCAAAUUCAGCAUUAUGAGAAAGACAAUUUCUAUUUGUUAUUGGACCUUAUAUUUAUUAUUUAUUUAUAUGUAUAUAUGGCUAUAUAUAUUUUCUUCUAUUUCUUCUUCUUCUUCCACAGUUGGCAUGGACAUAUAACAACAUUAUUAUUAUUAUUAUUAUUAUUAUUAUUAUUAUUAUUAUUAUUAUUAUUAUUAUUAUUAUUAUUAUUACUAUUAUACAGUACUUUAAUGUACUGUAAACUACAUUACGAUUAUUGUACAGUACAGUGCUGCAGAGACAAUGUUUAUAUUAUACAGUACGAAAGGAGUACAACAUCAUAAGAGCCUACAGCCUUAUGAGAUUUGUUUUACUAACAAGCCAUGUUCUAAAUACUCAGCAUUCCUCCACGUUUCAAUACACAUGUAU